GCCGUCUGGAGAGGCGCGUCCCGCUCCACGUGCUGGCAGCAGCUAGCAACCUCUCUGGGAGGUUCUGGCCACAGAACUCCGGCACGGCGCCCCGACCCGGCUCCGGCGAGGGGUCGGAUCCUGGGUUCCCAGGUUCAGAAGUCUUCAGAUCCCGGAAAAGCACAUUCAUCUGUGAAGUCAGUGGGCGCGGGUCUCCCAGAAAUCAUGCUUCCGGAAGGACCGCGGCAGUUCCAACUCCGGAGCCCAAGAACAAAUUGAGUUCAGCGUGGGACGCGAACCAUUCCCAGCGCCCUGGCAGGAAGCCUGCUCCUGGGGCUGGUCAGGCAACCAGCCGGGACCACAGAGGCCCCACAGAGAAAGGCUUGGGGGGGGGGGGGACAGCAGCUGCUCUUGUGCCCCACCCCCACACGCCCUUCUUCUGUUUCACCGGUAAAUAAAGAAGGCUGACAUUCAA